rnacentral:rRNA from 1 species
GACGAACGCUGGCGGCGUGCUUAACACAUGCAAGUCGAGCGGAGCGGCGAACGGGUGAGUAACGCGUGAGUAACUGCACCCCUCUCUGGGAUAACAGUUGGAAACGGCUGCUAAUACCGGAUAGUGGGGGAUGACCCGGGUCCUAUCAGCUUGUUGGUGGGGUAGUGGCAUACCAAGGCGACGACGGGUAACCGGCCUGAGAGGGCGACCGGCCACAUUGCGCUCAGGUACCGCCCCAACCCCUACUGGGGCCAGCAGUGGUGAUUAUUGCACAAUCGGGGAAACCCUGCUGCAGCAACGCCGCGUGCGGGAUGACUGCCUUCGGGUUGUAAACCGCUUUCAGCCAUGACGCGGUAGUGGCAGAAGAAGCACCGGCUAACUACGUGCCAGCAGCCGCGGUAGUUC